rnacentral:rRNA from 1 species
ACGGGAGGCAGCAGUGGGGAAUAUUGCACAAUGGGGGAAACCCUGAUGCAGCGACGCCGCGUGAGUGAAGAAGUUAUUCGUAAUGUAAAGCUCUAUCAGCAGGGAAGAAAAUGACGGUACCUGACUAAGAAGCCCCGGCUAACUACGUGCCAGCAGCCGCGGUAAUACGUAGGGGGCAAGCGUUAUCCGGAUUUACUGGGUGUAAAGGGAGCGCAGACGGCAUGGCAAGCCAGAUGUGAAAGGUGGGGGCUCAACCCCCAAGCUGCAUUUGGAACUGUCAAGCUAGAGUAUCGGAGAGGUAAGUGGAAUUCCUAGUGUAGCGGUGAAAUGCGUAGAUAUUAGGAGGAACACCAGUGGCGAAGGCGGCUUACUGGACGAUAACUGACGCUGAGGCGCGAAAGCGUGGGGAGCAAACAGGAUUAGAUACCCUGGUA